rnacentral:rRNA from 1 species
UACGUAGGGGGCAAGCGUUGUCCGGAUUUAUUGGGCGUAAAGAGUUCGUAGGUGGUUUUAUAAGUCUGGUGUCAAAGGCUGGGGCUCAACCCUGGAUGUGCACUGGAUACUGUAAGACUGGAGUGCAGUAGAGGCAAGCGGAAUUCCCAGUGUAGCGGUGAAAUGCGUAGAUAUUGGGAAGAACACCGGUGGCGCAAGCGGCUUGCUGGGCUGUAACUGACACUGAGGAACGAAAGCUAGGGGAGCGAAUGGG